CACGGUACCUAACGAAUAAGCACCGGCUAACUCCGUGCCAGCAGCCGCGGUAAUACGUGAGGGUGCAAGCGUUACUCGGAAUCACUGGGCGUAAAGGACGCGUAGGCGGAUUAUCAAGUCUUUUGUGAAAUCUAAUGGCUCAACCAUUAAACUGCUUGAGAAACUGAUAAUCUAGAGUGAGGGAGAGGCAGAUGGAAUUGGUGGUGUAGGGGUAAAAUCCGUAGAGAUCACCAGGAAUACCCAUUGCGAAGGCGAUCUGCUGGAACUUAACUGACGCUAAUGCGUGAAAGCGUGGGGAGCAAACAGGAUUAGAUACCCUGGUAGUCCACGCCCUAAACGAUGUAUACUAGUUGUUGCUGUGCUAGUCAUGGCAGUAAUGCACCUAACGGAUUAAGUAUACCGCCUGGGGAGUACGGUCGCAAGAUUAAAACUCAAAGGAAUAGACGGGGACCCGCACAAGCGGUGGAGCCAUGUGGUUUAAUUCGAAGAUACG
rnacentral:rRNA from 1 species